rnacentral:lncRNA from 1 species
UAUUAAAGUAAAGUUCUUUUAUAAAAGUAGAUCGUAUGUUUCAAAUGGCAGCCAUCAGCAGUGGCUCAUUGUGGAUAAAACGCAAUCCUCUACAAGACCAUUACAGUUGAUUAUGUAUCAAAACUAUUAUCAUGGGAUUAACCAAAAAUAAAUAAAAAAUUUAUCAUGGCGAGUACGUAAUUUAUAUCGAGUAAACGUGUUGAAAGAAAAGAGAGAGACUCACGUGGCUUCGUUGAGGUCAUCGAGGAUGUUGCCGUCACCUUUAACGGCGUAUAUCAACGACUUCUUGCGCUGAGCAACGACGACGAACUCACUCUUCCGGCCAACUCCGACGGCACCAACACUGCUCUGCUUGGCUCCUACGUUGUGGAAAGAAGAACCCAUGCCACUGAGAACAGCUCCUGAUAAAGACAUCGCCAUGAGAGAGGAUCUGUAAGAUGUUUUUUGGGAGGAAAUUUAACAACAGGAAGAGUUUUUAGAUGGAGAAAGUGAGAUGAGGAGCAUAUAAUCUCCAAUAGUAUCGUUUUAUAGAUCUCUCGACCAAUGAGAAUCCAAAACUACACGUGUCAGUGCAAGAUAUUUUUGCGCAUUGCUAUUAUCUCUAACUAUUGUUGAAUACGAAGAGUUUUUGUUCGUUCGUAUUUAGCUACGUGUAAUAAUUUCUAUGGUCACCAAAAGAAAAAAGAGGUCGGCCAUCAAGUUUGUGGUGAUAACCGUUAUAUACAUGUUAGCAUUUUUGGCAACCAAAAUUUACAUGUUAGCAUUUCUGUUUUAUUUGCAACUUUCAACAUUAAUAAGUAGACUCGAUAGAGAUAUAUGUAAAGGAAAAAUGUAUUAGUCGCUAAGCCGAAAACGUACAACUGUUUGUGUAUCAGUAUGUCUAUUUAGCCAUUUUUAGCAAUUAGGUUAAAACAACUUGGGAUUAUUGUCUAAAAUGUCCUUUUUAAAAAAAAACUUAUGAAAAUACCCUUUUUUUAAUAGUUUACGGAUUUUAUCUUUUUUUUAACAUUUAAAAAUGUACGUAUUUAGGAUUUUUUUCUCAAAAAUACGUACUUUAUACCAAAUACUAAACCCUAAGAACAAAUGGAACCGACUAAACCCAAACAUAACGAGUGAAACGCAUGUUAAAUCAUAUUUUUGGAGCAUGAAAAAUGGCAAAAUCCACAAACUAUUCAAAAAAGGGCAAAAUCCACAAAUACCAUUAUAAAAAAGGACAAAAUCCGUAAUUAAUUCAAACAACUUUUAACAUUUUAUGGNNNNNNNNNNNNNNNNNNNNNNNNNNNNNNNNNNNNNNNNNNNNNNNNNNNNNNNNNNNNNNNNNNNNNNNNNNNNNNNNNNNNNNNNNNNNNNNNNNNNUUUGUGUCUUCUUCUCCAUUAUUCUUGGACGACAACCAGCGCUUACUCCAUGACCAAAGCUUUUGAUUCUUCUUUCAACCACAAUACAACAUCAAUUAAUUUCGUUUUGAAUAAAGGAAACUAAACCCUAAGGGGAUCUAGUAAACCCAAGGGCUUGCUUUAUAGUAUAUAGUAAAUCGGAUAAUGCAAAAUCGAACUCGAAUUUGUAAAAUUGAAAUCGAAAGUGAGAGAAUCGAACAUGUGAGAUUAGAGAUCUUGUGAAACCAAUGGGUACCAGUCUUGAAUUUGGAUCACACACCAUGGAAUCGCCCAAAGAAUCAUCACAACCAUGGACGCAAAUACUUCAAUCUCCGCGAUUCGUCGAUAAACCUCACCACCCGAAGCUUCUGAUACCUCCGAUCGUUGCAGUACUUGCAGAUUUUGAAUCGCCCAUGCUUCGAUAACGCCACAAACCCGGAAAUCCCAUAAACACAGAAGAAAAAAACAAAAAAAAUCUUUGAAAUCAAAUAAAGAAAUCAAAAGAUAAUUAUUUCCGAAUACCAGUUUAUACGGUGGUAAAAAAAAGAGGUUCGUCUUCAAAAUCGCAGAUCCAAAGGAUUUGUGUAGUUUGAUUUUCGAGGUUAGAGAAAGAGAGAAGUGAUAUUGUGGUGUUAGCAAAGUGACGACGAAAAGCUCUUGGAAAGAGCAAAAAAGACAUUUCGUAGCAUAAAAAAAUGGUCAAAUACGCAAGUACCGGUGUACUGUCCUGAUCUCGUAAUUAUUGUUGGAAAUAAUGCCAACCCGGUAAUUUAUUCAUAAAAGUAUUAGAAACAAAAAAAGUUUUAAGGAAAUUAAAUUUUGAGAAAUAUGAAAUUGAGCAUUUAUAAACAGAGGGCUUACUUAAAGAUUACUCUUGCUUGAAACCAGCGACGAAAGAGCUUAUUUGAUUUGUCCCACAUUAGUUGGGUAUUUGAGUAAUGCAAUGUGCUCCUUAUAAGUGUUGUGGCAUACAUCCUUAUAAAGGUCAGACUCACCUUUGUGCCGUUGAAAGACUAUAUAUUAACGAUGUUACUUACUCACUAUUUAAUUCGGUCUUUUCAAUAUUUAAUAACAUUGUUGAGCAUUAUAUAUAUGUAUUUAAUAACAUUGUGAUUUAGGUUCACACUUACUAUAAUAGGCAUUUGGGAGAGUCAUUGUAUCGGACAAAGACAAUCUAAUUGCGAGUAAGACUUAUUUAUGAUAUGUGUGACGGCAGAUGUGGUUGUAAUUUUGCUGGUGCCGGACCAUUAUUCUGAAUAUACCAUAUCUUAUUUCAUUCAUUCAUUGGUUGGUGUGGAAUUAAUAGAAAUUACAACAGACUGAUCUUAUUGUAACAUGAAGAGAGAGGAUAUGGAUCCAUAUAUCUACGAGUUUAAGUUCUUGAAUUAACUGAUUAAGACCCUACUUUGUGGCAUCCUUAGCGUCUCCUGCUUUACCCUCUGCGAGCUCAGCCGCCGUGUUUGCGGCUUCUUUUCCUUUCUCCUCCACGUACUCCGAAGCUUUCUCAGAUUCUUUACCCAAUGUAUCUGCGUUUUCACUGGUUUUUUCAACAACGUAGUCUUUUGCUUUCUCGCCAUCUGCCAACGCUUCUUUUGUUUUAUCCGUCACGAAAUCUGAAGCUUUCUUUCUGUAUAAUUUUUAAAUUAAGAUGUAACAAAAUGUAUAUUUAGUAUUUAGGGCUAUACAUGUAAACUAGAAAAAUAGAACGGAUCGGAUAAUGUUUAUGGUAUAUAUGAAUCUUCAUCUUUAAUGAUAGUAAAAUAUAAUCAUAAAAUUAGCUCGAAAAUAACAUGUUUCCAAUAAAAUCUAUAUAAUAUACCAUAAACAUUGAUUACUAACAUCCUUAAUUACUUACGAGGCAAGAUAUUAAAAUAAGAAAGAAUUUAGACUUACGUGGCCUGGUUGAGGUCAUCGAGGAUGUUGCCGUCACUUUUAGCGGCGUAGAUCAACGACUUCUUGCGCUGAGAAACGACGACGAA